UCGGUGUGAGGACAGGGAGGAGAGGAGACGGUGUGAGGACAGGGAGGAGAGGGUACGGUGUGAGGACAGAGGAGACGGUGUGAGGACAGAGAGGAGACGGUGUGAGGACAGGGAGGAGAGGAGACGGUGUGAGGACAGAGAGGAGACGGUGUGAGGACAGAGGAGACGGUGUGGGGACAGAGAGGAGACGGUGUGCACUCUUCCAGGAAUAGAAAGACUCAGAUUGAGAACAUUAUCUCACCACACUGGAUCAUAUCUCUCUCUCUCUCUCUCUCUCUCUCUCACACACACACACACACACACAUCAUGAGAGGUUGUCUGUCAUCCACACCACUGCUCUUAAAUAGCCGCUGGCGAAGGACACACAUUUAUCACACACUGCUAAUGAACACACACACACAAUCCAUGCUAAUGAAUGUGUCUGCAGUCUGAGUGAGCACUUUUUGAUUAAUACGAGCUGUCAGAUGGAGAGAAGUGAACAUUCAUUCUGUUUGUUCAGCAGAGAGCGAGAAGAAUAAAAAGAAUAAAAUGAGAGCUGCAUUUAUACUACAGAUCAAAGAGCAGCAGAGGAGAGACGGG
ensembl:lncRNA